rnacentral:rRNA from 1 species
GACGAACGCUGGCGGCGUGCUUAACACAUGCAAGUCGAACGGUAAGGCCCUUCGGGGUACACGAGUGGCGAACGGGUGAGUAACACGUGGGUGAUCUGCCCUGCACUUCGGGAUAAGCCUGGGAAACUGGGUCUAAUACCGGAUAGGACCACUGCCUGCAUGGGUGGUGGUGGAAAGCUUUUGCGGUGUGGGAUGGGCCCGCGGCCUAUCAGCUUGUUGGUGGGGUGAUGGCCUACCAAGGCGACGACGGGUAGCCGGCCUGAGAGGGUGACCGGCCACACUGGGACUGAGAUACGGCCCAGACUCCUACGGGAGGCAGCAGUGGGGAAUAUUGCACAAUGGGCGCAAGCCUGAUGCAGCGACGCCGCGUGAGGGAUGACGGCCUUCGGGUUGUAAACCUCUUUCAGCACCGACGAAGCGCAAGUGACGGUAGGUGCAGAAGAAGGACCGGCCAACUACGUGCCAGCCGCCGCCGUAAGAC